UACGUAGGGGGCAAGCGUUGUCCGGAAUCAUUGGGCGUAAAGAGCGUGUAGGCGGCCAGAUAAGUCCGCUGUGAAAUCUCGAGGCUCAACUUCGAGCUGUCGGUGGAAACUGUCUGGCUAGAGUCCGGAAGAGGAGAAUGGAAUUCCUGGUGUAGCGGUGAAAUGCGCAGAUAUCAGGAAGAACACCCGUGGCGAAAGCGGCUCUCUGGGACGGUACUGACGCUGAGACGCGAAAGCGUGGGGAGCAAACAGG
rnacentral:rRNA from 1 species